rnacentral:rRNA from 1 species
AUUGAACGCUGGCGGCAUGCCUUACACAUGCAAGUCGAACGGUAACAGGUCUUCGGAUGCUGACGAGUGGCGAACGGGUGAGUAAUGCAUCGGAACGUGCCCAGUAGUGGGGGAUAGCCCGGCGAAAGCCGGAUUAAUACCGCAUACGACCUGAGGGUGAAAGGGGGGGAUCGCAAGACCUCUCGCUAUUGGAGCGGCCGACGUCAGAUUAGCUAGUUGGUGGGGUAAAGGCCUACCAAGGCAACGAUCUGUAGUUGGUCUGAGAGGACGACCAGCCAAACUGGGACUGAGACACGGCCCAGACUCCUACGGGAGGCAGCAGUGGGGAAUUUUGGACAAUGGGCGCAAGCCUGAUCCAGCAAGGCCGCGUGCAGGAAGAAGGCCUUCGGGUUGUAAACUGCUUUUGUCAGGGAAGAAAUCUUCUGGGUUAAUACCUCGGGAGGAUGACGGUACCUGAAGAAUAAGCACCGGCUAACUACGUGCCAGCCGCCGCCGUAAGAC